GCCCGGGUAAAAAAGAUAUCCCGGGAACUGGGGGUAAUGCUCUAUAGUCCGGGAGGACUGGAAUGUUCUCCGGAUGAAAGAUCCGUCGCUUCAGGAUGAGUCUGCGGCCGAUUAGGUAGUUGUUGGGGUAAAAGCCCAACAAGCCUGUAAUCGGUACGGGUUGUGGGAGCAAGAGCCCGGAGAUGGAUUCUGAGACACGAAUCCAGGCCCUACGGGGCGCAGCAGGCGCGAAAACUUUACAAUGCGGGCAACCGUGAUAAGGAAACCCCGAGUGCCAGCACAGGCUGGCUGUCCACCAGUGUAAAAAACUGGUGAAGAAAGGGCCGGGCAAGACCGGUGCCAGCCGCCGCGGUAAUACCGGCGGCUCGAGUGGUGGCCGCUUUUACUGGGCUUAAAGGGUCCGUAGCUUGAUCCAUGGGUCCCUUGAGAAAUCCAUCAGCUUAACUGCUGGGCGUUCAGGGGAAACUGUGGUUCUAGGGACCGGGAGAGGUAAGAGGUACUGCCGGGGUAGGAGUGAAAUCCUGUAAUCCCGGUGGGACGACCUAUAGCGAAGGCAUCUUACCAGAACGGCUCCGACAGUGAGGGACGAAAGCUGGGGGAGCAAACCGGAUUAGAUACCCGGGUAGUCCCAGCUGUAAACGAUGCGCGUUAGGUGUGUCAGUGACCACGUGUCACUGAUGUGCCGAAGGGAAACCGUGAAACGCGCCGCCUGGGGGAGUACGGUCGCAAGGCUGAAACUUAAAGGAAUUGGCGGGGGAGCAC
rnacentral:rRNA from 1 species